ACAGACUGUAUGGUUCGGGGAAAAUAGUAUUCAAGUUGAAUUUUGGCUUGUGUAUGUCUACAUAGGGGGGCUUGUCGCUCACGUCCGUAGGUACAAACCCUAGUUACCCUACACGUGUCCCCUGGGUGGUGCUAACGAAGCUCCGAAUCGUUUUCCGAAUUACUCUUCUCCGAUAGCACGGUUCGUCGAAAUCACUGUUCGUCGACGGUUUGUUCAUCGAAAAAAUCCUUCUCCGAUAGCACGGUUCGUCGAAAGCACUGUUAGACGAUGGUUUCUUUGCCGAAGAAAUCGUUCGCCGAUUGAAAGAUUCGUCGAAAGCACUGUUCGACGAUGGUUGCUUUGCCGAAGAAAUCAUUCGCCGAUAGAGAGAUUCGUCGAAAGCACUGUUCGACGAUGGUUGCUUUGACGACUAAAUCAUUCACCGAUAGAAAGGUUGGCCAAAAGUACUUUAAACUGAUUGUUGGAAUAAUGAUGUAUAAACUAGUAUAACCUUAUUGUGUAAUUGUGUAGUAUUUAAGAAAAGUAAUUUCUAUUUCUAUACUUGCUCUAUAUGCACCUAACGUCUCUCUCUUUCUGUUUGCCUGCCUAACGGUGUAUAAUAUGUGUGACUAUCGUUUUCCAAUAAAUAUCCAAGUUAUAAAGUAA